CUGAAAUGAACAUAAAAUGGGCUUUAAAUCUAAAUGCUUUCUUAGCUGUAGCGAAAGAUAUAGCAGGGACAGAAAAAAGAGCUGUGUAGAGUGUCUCAAGUAGUAGGUAGAGGAAAAAGGUACCAUAAGCUGUUUUAAAUAACUAGGAUAAUUGUAAUGUAUAUAUUUAUAAAUAAACUGCAACCAAUGCAGAUGUAUUCUUAUUGAGGGUUA